UACGUAGGGUGCAAGCGUUAAUCGGAAUUACUGGGCGUAAAGCGUGCGCAGGCGGUUUUGUAAGUCUGACGUGAAAUCCCCCGGGCUCAACCUGGGAAUUGCGUUGGAGACUGCAAGGCUGGAGUCUGGCAGAGGGGGGGUAGAAUUCCACGUGUAGCAGUGAAAUGCGUAGAGAUCGGCAGGAACACCCAGGGGGAAACCAGUCGACUGGGCAUCUACUGACGCUGAGGUGCGAGAGCGUGGGGAGCGAACCGG
rnacentral:rRNA from 1 species